rnacentral:rRNA from 1 species
UACGUAGGGUGCAAGCGUUAAUCGGAAUUACUGGGCGUAAAGCGUGCGCAGGCGGCUAUGCAAGACAGAUGUGAAAUCCCCGGGCUCAACCCGGGAACUGCGUCCGAUACUGGCAGGCUUGAAUCCGGGAGAGGGAUGCGGAAUUCCAGGUGUAGCGGUGAAAUGCGUAGAUAUCUGGAGGAACACCGGUGGCGAAGGCGGCAUCCUGGACCGGUAUUGACGCUGAGGCGCGAAAGCCAGGGGAGCAAACGGG